rnacentral:rRNA from 1 species
GGUUAACGCUGGCGGCGUGCCUUACACAUGCAAGUCGAACGGGGCUAUCAGCGAUGGUAGCUUAGUGGCGAACGGGUGAGGAAGACGCAGGGACCUACGACCAGAGGGGGAUACCCGCUGGAAACGGCGGAUAAACCGCAUACGCCCGGGUGAAAGCCCGGGGAAAAGCACUACGGUGUUACUGGACGAGGGGACCUGCGGCCCAUCAGGUAGUUGGGGAGGUAACGGCUCACCAAGCCGACGACGGGGUAUCUGGCGUGAGAGCGCGAACAGGCACAAGGACACUGAGAGACGGGUCCUACUCCUACGGGAGGCAGCAGUGGGGAAUAUUGGACAAUGGCGAAAGCCUGAUCCAGCGACGCCGCGUGUC